GUUACAAAUUUAAAUAACCAUGAGCCCUCCAUUGAAGAUCAACAGGGACUCUUGUCACAUCAAGAAACCAUCAUUUGAGCAGCAACAACGCCAUCCAGUUAUAAUUUACACUCAUUCUCCCAAAAUAAUUCGUACCCAUCCUCGCGAUUUUAUGGCAUUAGUCCAAAACUCACUGGCUUUUCUCGUUCCGAAAAAGACCUCUCAUCUUCACCCAAGUCCGAGCCAAAUAAUUAUCAUCUUGAUUACAAUGAUAACAAUGAUUUUAAAGGUGGGGUUUUUGCGAAAGUUGAAAAUGAGUCUAAGUCGGAUGAAAAUAAAAGCAUCAGUUGCAAUAAUGCAGGGAAUAUUCAGCUGCUCAAUCACUCUUUAAUUACACGGAUUCGUUCUUCUUCAUGCCCAGUAUGAAGGAGCUUCCAGAUUAUUGAAAUGGAUUUUUUAAUUUUGUUGUAUUAGAACUAUUACUCUUUUAUUAGGAGUAUUAUGGUUCUUCUUUUUUGUUUUCUUCUUCAGUUGCGAAUUGUGAUCUCUCUUUUAAUCUGAGGGGAACUUUGAUGAGCUUCAAUUUGGUAGUUUUGAUACAAUGAAAAGAAUAAUAAUUUCGUUACAUUCUUCUGUA